UAACGCGUGAGGAACCUGCCUUCCAGAGGGGGACAACAGUUGGAAACGACUGCUAAUACCGCAUGAUGCGUUGGAGCCGCAUGACUCUGACGUCAAAGAUUUAUCGCUGGAAGAUGGCCUCGCGUCUGAUUAGCUAGUUGGUGAGGUAACGGCCCACCAAGGCGACGAUCAGUAGCCGGACUGAGAGGUUGGCCGGCCACAUUGGGACUGAGAUACGGCCCAGACUCCUACGGAAGGCAGCAG
rnacentral:rRNA from 1 species